CCUACGGGGGGCAGCAGUGGGGAAUUUUGGGCAAUGGCCGCAAGGCUGACCCAGCGACGCCGCGUGCGGGAGGACGCCCUUCGGGGUGUAAACCGCUGUCAGGGGGGACGAACCUUUCCCGGGGGAAUACGCCGGGGAACUGACGGUACCCCCAAAGGAAGCGCCGGCUAACUCCGUGCCAGCAGCCGCGGUAAGACGGAGGGCGCAAGCGUUGUUCGGAAUCACUGGGCGUAAAGCGCGCGCAGGCGGGCUCAGCAAGUCGGAAGUGAAAUUCUGGGGCUCAACUCCGGGACGGCUUCCGAAACUGCGGGUCUGGAGACCGGUAGAGGUGGGUGGAAUUCCCGGUGUAGCGGUGGAAUGCGUAGAGAUCGGGAAGAACACCUGUGGCGAAGGCGGCCCACUGGGCCGGUUCUGACGCUGAGGCGCGAAAGCGUGGGGAG
rnacentral:rRNA from 1 species